rnacentral:rRNA from 1 species
GACGAACGCUGGCGGCGUGCCUAAUACAUGCAAGUAGAACGCACAGUUUAUACCGUAGCUUGCUACACCAUAGACUGUGAGUUGCGAACGGGUGAGUAACGCGUAGGUAACCUGCCUGGUAGCGGGUGAUAACUAUUGGAAACGAUAGCUAAUACCGCAUAAUAUUGAAUAUUGCAUGAUAAUUGAUUGAAAGAUGCUAUUGCAUCACUACCAGAUGGACCUGCGUUGUAUUAGCUAGUAGGUGAGGUAACGGGUCACCUAGGCGACGAUACAUAGCCGACCGUGGAGGGUGAUCGGCCACACUGGGACUGAGACACGGCCCAGACUCCUACGGGAGGCAGCAGGAGGGAAUCUUCGGCAAUGGACGAAAGUCUGACCGAGCAACGCCGCGGGAGUGAAGAAGGUUUUCGGAUCGUAAAGCUCUGUUGUAAGAGAAGAACGGGUGUGAGAGUGGAAAGUUCACACUGUGACGGUAUCUUACCAGAAAGGGACGGCUAACUACGUG